GAAAAUAACUAUGAUUCCCUUAGUAGUGGCGAAUGAACAGGGAUCAGAUCAAGCCUUUAAUCCUUCUCUUCUGAGACAGGAAUUGUGGUCUACCCUCCUUUGACCUGCACCGUCCUCCCGACUAGUUCUUAUUGAGAUAUAGUGUCACAGAGGGUUAUAACCCCGUCUGUUGGGAUUGUGUGUGCGUUCGGUCGGGUGAGUGUGAGUCGUGUUGCUUGGGACUGCAGCACUAAUUGGGAGGUAAUGUCCUUCUAAAUCUAAAUAUUACGAAGAGACCGAUAGCGAACAAGUACCGUGAGGGAAAGAUGAAAAGGAAUUUGAAAAGAAUGUGAAAAGUACGUGAAAUCGUUAGGUGAAAGCGAAUAGCAUACCCUUAGCGUGUGCCUUCUGUUUGUUACGGUUGGUUUUUCACUUUCCCAGUGUCUUCCUUCCACGCAAUCAUUCGGCAGAGGAUUAGAUCGUAGUUUCUCGGUGUUGCGUUGUGUGUCGACUUUCUUGGACUAUCGCCACGGUGAUACCCUUGAUUGUUUGCUCCUUCUCUCUCCGUUU
rnacentral:rRNA from 1 species